CAAAAUAAAGUGAUCUUGUUCAUUCUUUUACAAAAACACCAAAAUAUAUUUUCUUCCUUCAAUCUGCUUCCUUGAAAGAACUAUGGUUAGUCAAUUCUUCCUUCAUGAAGGUUUAUAAUUUCGUCUUGUUUUCUACGAUAGUAUUUUUGUUCCCUUGGAGACAACUUUCCCAAGUCCACAAGCAUGAUCCCUUUUUCCACUUUCCAUUGUUUCACUCGAAGCAUUUCUUGCUUGAAACGAACUUUCCCUAUUUCAUUCUUGCUUGAUAUGAUCUUUUUCUUUCGUAUGUUGAAGUUGCUCUUGCUCCUUCAAUUGCUUCAUACGAAGCUUUUCUUUGUCAUGUUCUAGUCGCUCUUGCUCUUGAACACAUGCCUUCUCAAACUGUUCGAUUGUCCAUUCCUCCGAUUCUUUCCCAUCUUUCUUUAGCUCGUGUAGAGCCUCCCAAAGAGCUGAAUUGUCGCUUUCAUCCCUCUUUUGUUUUUUCACCCA
rnacentral:lncRNA from 1 species